rnacentral:rRNA from 15 species
CGACCCCAGGUCAGGCGGGGCUACCCGCUGAGUUUAAGCAUAUCAAUAAGCGGAGGAAAAGAAACUAACAAGGAUUCCCCUAGUAACGGCGAGCGAAC